AUUGAACGCUGGCGGCAGGCCUAACACAUGCAAGUCGAACGAGUGGCGGACGGGUGAGUAAUGUAUGGGGAACUGCCCGAUAGAGGGGGAUAACUACUGGAAACGGUGGCUAAUACCGCAUACUAUCAGAUGAACCCAUAUGGGAUUAGCUAGUAGGUGGGGUAAAGGCUCACCUAGGCGACGAUCCCUAGCUGGUCUGAGAGGAUGAUCAGACACACUGGAACUGAGACACGGCCCAGACUCCGACGGGAGGUAGCAGUGGGGAAUAUUGCACAAUGGGCGCAAGCCUGAUGCAGCCAUGCCGGGUGUAUGAAGAAGGCCUUCGGGUUGUAAAGUACUUUCAGCGGGGAGGCGUUACCCGCAGAAGAAGCACCGGCUAACUCCGUGCCAGCAGCCGCGGUAAUAC
rnacentral:rRNA from 1 species